GUCUACGGCCACACCACCCUGAACAUGCCUGAUCUCAUCUUAUCUGGAAGCUAAGCAGGGUCGGGCCUGGUAAGUACUUGGAUGGGAGAACCUAACACAUAUCGGCUGUUUUCUAAAGUUGUUGACC
rnacentral:rRNA from 1 species